AGAGAGAGGGGGGGAGAGAGAGAGAGAGAGAGAGAGAGGGGAAGAGGGAGAGGGGGGUUUAAGGGAGAGGUGGAGAUGGUGGAAAAUAAAGAUUGGUGAGGGGGAUUUGGUGGCGGAUGAAACAUCCCAUAGCUCCCCAGCUCUCACCAUCCAUGUGAGGAGAGUGAGCAAGGGACAUAGUCACCCGACCCGACUAGGUCUAGGCUCUGCUCUCCUCACGGUCCUCACAAGAUACAAAGAGAUAUGUAAACGUGGAAGUGAGAGUUCUCUAGGCAGAGUUUUGGGUUUGGUUUGAGCUGAGUUGGUCAGUUGAUUAUUGAUUACUAUUUUAAGUUCUAAAAGUGGAUAGAGUCAAAAAGUCACAGAGGAUUGUGGUGGGAGCAGGUGGUCCAUCUGGCACCAUUCUGCUCAUGCAGGGAUUCGAGUGAUAGAAAGAGAAUAGAUCUUGCCAACGUGACUCGCCAUUGAGACUCUCCUCACCUGCUGGUUUUCAUCCUCUGAUAGGAGAGAGAGGUACAGAUCAGGAGAGAGGGAGAAAAGGAGGGAGGCAGGGUGGGGUCAGGAGUUAAUUUGUCUUGAAAAGUAUUUAUCUUUUCGUCAUUGCUGUUAGGGUUUAGAUGUUUUUUGUUUAGUUUUCUGAGGAAUGUAGUGUUAGUAUAGGUUCCAAGGUGGAGGAUUCUUUGGAAUUCACUCUCACCCUUGAAACUGGAAGAUCUUAGAUUCUAUAAAGGGGGGGGGGGGGGGGGGUGAGAGGUUGUGUGCACAGAAGGAGCAUGGGCUCAGAUUCUCUGAAUGAUAUUGUGACAAGUCUGUCCGAAGGUAAGUGGCUGGUUAGGUGUGGGAAAGAGAUAGAGUGAUAG